UCUAAAAUGGCAGAUUAGUGCCUUGAAUUUAAGCUUCAAUUAUAAAGAAUUUCUCUUUUUUUAGAA
rnacentral:tRNA from 1 species